rnacentral:rRNA from 1 species
AUUAUUGGGCGUAAGAGUUCGUAGGUGGUUUGUUAAGUUUGGUGUUAAAGAUCGGGGCUCAACCCUGGGACUGCACUGAAUACUGGCAGACUCGAGUGUGGUAGAGGCUAGUGGAAUUCCCAGUGUAGCGGUGAAAUGCGUAGAUAUUGGGAAGAACACCGGUGGCGUAGGCGACUAGCUGGGCCAUAACUGACGCUGAGGAACGAAAGCCAGGGGAGCGAAUGGGAUUAGAUACCCCAGUAGUCCUGGCCGUAAACGAUGGAUACUAGGCGUAUCGGGUAUCGACCCCUGAUGUGCCGCAGCUAACGCGAUAAGUAUCCCGCCUGAGUAGUACGGCCGCAAGGUUGAAACUCAAAGGAAUUGACGGGGGCCCGCACAAGCGGUGGAACAUGUGGUUUAAUUCGAAGCAACGCGAAGAACCUUACCAGGGCUUGACAUGGUAGGAAGCUUUCGGAAACGAG